AUCACACCAGACUCCGGACUUCUGGGAAAGAAAAUCAGGAGACCACUCUCAGAAACCUUCCAGGAGCCAUGACCACCAGGUCUCCCCUGACUCCUCAAUGGCUCCUUCAGAUGAAGGUAACUCAGGCCAGUGGUUCUUCUGUAAAAUAAAGAAAGUCAUCUGUUUCCACUAUAUGAAUAAACUUCAGGUCGCCCAUUCCCAGAAAGAUAAAAAAAGAGAAGAAAGAAAGAAAGAAGAAAGAAAGAAAGAAAGAAAGAAAGAAAGAAAGAAAGAAAGAAAGAGAAAGAAAGAAAUUGAUUUUAAUAAUAUAUUUUAUUUACCCCAGUAUAUCCAAAGCAGAUCUUUGUGGGGGUUCUCUGGGCAACUCUGAGUUGUAGCCCAGCCCCACACCAGGUCACCAUCCUCCUUCUCCCUCAUCCCUGCCCGGGCCAUCCUUUCCUGGCCCGAGGCUGGAAAGCGUUCUCUUGCUCCUCACUGUUCACUCAAAAUCUCUGGUCUGUGCACAUUCCUUCUUCUUCCAGCAAAGCCUUGAAGCUUUCGGAACUACAGAGGCAAGCAACCUUUCUCCUCUGCUUUCUGCUAUGCCAUGCCGUCCCUGAGGCGAUGAAAACAGUAGGCCUAGUGGAAUGGAUUAGAACAACCAGGGACAACAGAAAUGCAUUGGGCAGCAUUUUAAAAGUAUUUUCUCUCCACAAAGUAUUUUUUAAAAUUUUGUUUUAUGCACACGGGUGCACAUGUGCGUACAUGUGUGUGUGUGUGUGUGAGUUGUGUUGUAUGGGAAAAGAGCAGUGGACAGGUCCCUAGUAAAAGAAAGACUUCCCCUAACCCUAACCACAACCCCUCCAUUCCCACAGGAGAAACGAUUCUAAGUUCACGGAUUCCUCUUUCCAGGUUAACGCUCUGAUCCUUCAGCAUCUUCAGCAUCAGUUGCUUGAGUGUAAGAGGGAUUAGCAGAGGUCAGUGUAGGGCGUGAUGGUUUGACUCAGAGGACUAUGGAGUAAAGGCAACAGGGGAGGAGAUUGUAGACUCUCAGUGGGCAGGGGCAGGAUUUUAUAUCAACUGCCUUUUAUUGUUACUGUAUCAUGUGAUCUAAGCAAGCACCCUGCUAUAUCAUUGUAUCCUUACCACCAACAUAGGGAGAAUUUAGGGGUUUUUCAAUUAUAGGCUUAUUUCCCAUUUACAAAUGA
rnacentral:lncRNA from 12 species